AACGACUUCGGCAACGGAUAUCUAGGCUCUCACAUCGAUGAAGAACGUAGUGAAAUGCAAUACUUGGUGUGAAUUGCAGAAUCCCGCGAAUCAUCAAGUUUUUGAACGCAAGUUGCGCCCGAAGCCAUUCGGCCGAGGGCACGUUUGCCUGGGUGUCACGC
rnacentral:rRNA from 1 species